UUUCCGUAGGUGAACCUGCGGAAGGAUCAUUAAAGAGUUAGGUUCUUCGGGCUCUCCCUCCAAACCUUUGUUCACCUACUAUGUUGCGUUAGCGAACCCGCCUAACGACCGUCACAAGUUGGGGGAAGACCUACAACCUUUUGGCACGUGUCUGUCAAUGGCCCUAUUCAAAUUUUUGAUAAAUUUUGAUAUCGGAGUUAUAAAAUUAAUAGUUAAAACUUUCAACAACGGAUCUCUUGGUUCUG
rnacentral:misc_RNA from 1 species